rnacentral:rRNA from 1 species
CCUACGGGCGGCAGCAGUGGGGAAUAUUGCACAAUGAGGGGAACCCUGAUGCAGCGACGCAGCGUGAGCGAUGAAGUUUUUCGGUAUGUAAAGCUCUAUCAGCAGGGAAGAACAUGACGGUACCUGACUAAGAAGCGCCGGCUAAAUACGUGCCAGCAGCCGCGGUAAUACGUAGGGGGCAAGCGUUAUCCGGAUUUACUGGGGGUAAAGGGAGCGUAGACUGCUGUGCAAAUCCGGAGGGAAAGGCAUGGGCUCAACCUGUGGCCUGCUUUGGAAACUGUGCGGCUUGAGUGUCAGAGAGGCAAGUGGAAUUCCUAGUGUAGCGGUGAAAUGCGUAGAUAUAAGGAGGAACACCAGUGGCGAAGUCGGCUUGCUGGACGAAGACUGACGCUGAGGCUCGAAAGCGUGGGGAGCAAACAGGAUUAGAUACCCGGGUAGUC